UGAAUCCUGAACUUUGAUAACUUUAGGAAAUGAUGCAUUUUAUGGACAAGUUGGGGAUAUGCAUAAGCAAAGGAAGACGGAAGGAAAGUCCAUGCAGGCCCUUUUCUCGUCAUGACCACAGCUGUGGCUGGAAUCACUAGUCUCAGACUUCCUCUGUGGACUCAACUUGUUUUAUUUUUACAAAACUUUAGUCACUCCACCCGUGCUGUUAAGCUCCCCGGCGUUUCCUCAGGACUACGGGAUGAGCGUUUUCCACGGAAGUGACACCUAAGAUGACUUUCACGGCUGCACCCAAUCGCACUGUUUCCACGGAAGUGACACCUAAGGUGACUUUCACGGCUGCACCCAAUUGCACUGUCACUGUGCUGGUUUGUGUCACCGCUGCUGCUAUACCCUGCCUUCUCCGGUGUCUGGAUGGACCGCGUUUCCCGGGGACUGGGUUUCCUGGAGACCAGGAGGCAUGAAUGAAAAACACGACUUUUAUUGCACAACUGGAAAACUAACCAACAUGGAGCUAAGGAAGACUGUCUUUGCUUAACUGAGCUUGACAAGAAAACUAUCAAGCCUCAGCUUUGGAAAUUAAAAUAAAAGAGGAUCUCCCUGGAGUGCCUGGCAGAUGGUAAG
ensembl:lncRNA